GCUGGCCAUUCGAGUGGUUUUGCUUGCCGGAGGAGGAUUUUUGAUUUUGGGGUUUCUACCAAUCUGUUGCUGUGCCUUUUUGCAGAGAAGUCCGUGUAUCAAUCCUUUACAAAGGAUAAGCAAAAAAGUACAGAAAAUUGCACGGGAAAAAAGAGCACAUGGGAAAAAGACUCAUGAUGAAGAGAUUCAUCGCCAUUUACUGGACUGACUUAAGAAAGAACCAAAAGGACAAAAAAAAAAAAAAGAAGGAACAACCACCUGAUCCUGAAGAUCAAACAGAAGACACCAGGAUUAUUUGACUAUCUCCCAGAAAAUGACACGUUUUGUUUUAGCACUGAAGUAA